rnacentral:tRNA from 1 species
GUUAUUGUAGCUUAUAUACAAAGCACGGCACUGAAAAUGCCGAGAUGGGCCUAACCCCCCCCAAAAACA